UACGAAGGGGGCGAGCGUUGUUCGGAUUUACUGGGCGUAAAGGGCGCGCAGGCGGCUCAUUUUGUCAGGCGUGAAAGCCCCGGGCUUAACCUGGGAGGUGCGUUUGAUACGGAUGGGCUAGAGUUCGGGAGAGGAGAGUGGAAUUCCCAGUGUAGAGGUGAAAUUCGUAGAUAUUGGGAAGAACACCGGUGGCGAAGGCGGCUCUCUGGACCGAGACUGACGCUGAGGCG
rnacentral:rRNA from 1 species